rnacentral:rRNA from 1 species
UCGUGGGUGUAGGAGUGUUGAGAGGAUCUGUCCUUAGUACGAGAGGACCGGGAUGGACAUACCUCUGGUGGAGCUGUUGUGGCGCCAGCCGCAGUGCAGCGUAGCUAUGUAUGGACGGGAUAACCGCUGAAUGCAUCUAAGCGGGAAACCCACCUCAAAACGAGCGCUCCCUUGAGAGGCGUGGAAGACGACCACGUUGAUAGGCCGGGUGUGUAAGCGCAGCAAUGCGUUGAGCUUACCGGUACUAAUUCCUCGAUAGGCUUGAACGCUCUCAU